rnacentral:misc_RNA from 1 species
GAUGAAGAACGCAGCGAAAUGCGAUAAGUAAUGUGAAUUGCAGAAUUCAGUGAAUCAUCGAAUCUUUGAACGCACCUUGCGCCCUUUGGCUAUUCCGAAGGGCAUGCCUGUUUGAGUAUCAUGAACACCUCAACCCUCAUGGUUUGCCAUGAUGGGCUUGGACUUUGGGGGUCUUGCUGGAUUGUAGUCAGCUCCCCUUAAAUGAAUCAGCUUGCCAGUGUUUGGUGGCAUCACAGGUGUGAUAAAUAUCUACGCUUGUGGUUUUACAUCAGAUAACCUUCAGUGAUGGAGGUUCACUGGAGCUCAUAAAGGUGUCUCUCCUCUGUGAGGACAGCUCUUUGAAUGUUUGAUCUCAAAUCAGGCAGGACUACCCGCUGAACUUAAGCAUAUCAUAAGCGGAGGA